rnacentral:sRNA from 1 species
AUUUCUGUUAAGCUCCAGUUAAGCUUUACAAGUGUUUACUAUACACAUCCAGACAUUCUGGAUUUGACAGUUUGACGAUUGGUCACACUGUUUGACGCCUCCCUGUUAAACUCUUGAGAGCCGCUUCUGCGGCUCUUUUUUU